rnacentral:tRNA from 1 species
GCGCUCGUGGCGGAACUGGUAUACGCGCUACCUUGAGGAGGUAGUGCCCGCAAGGGUGUGCAGGUUCAAAUCCUGUCGAGCGCACCG